AUUGAUUAGUUUGGUAUUAUCCUAUAAUUUUGUUGAUCGGUCAACAUCCACUCCCUGUCAUCACCUAAAUCCUAAUGCCACAUUUCAGAUUCCUUUCCUUUAUUAGAAAUUGUUAUAUGCCUCCUUUGAUUCGUAUAGCUGUUUUAGUCAAUGCAGCUCUCUUGCAAAUCCACAUUUGUCAUGGCUUUAUUCCUUUAGUUUGUGUCA